UGUCGUCCCAUUUUUCUAUCAAUAGUCCUACAUCGGCUGAGAAUGAAAUUAUGAUUAGAAAUAUAUGGAAUCGUUGACCAUAAUAAUAAUAAUCAUGAUUAAAUAUUUUGGCCUCGUGAUAUGGUCUCAACGAUUUAUUAUUGUUAGUAGGUAAAGUCGUAAUAGUUAGUAUUAAAAUUAACAAUCACUAGCCAAAAACGUGAGAUGAAUCUCUGCUAAUCCACAGCCUAAAAAUAACAUGUUAAAUUAAGGCCUGAAUGACAUGACUAGCUAGACAAGGUUAAAGGGUGGAGGAUCUUAUAAUAAGCCCAAAACCUCUUAAUUCGAUUAUAACAUUUAGAUUAAAUUAGUUCUAAAACAAAUAACCCUCGUAUUAAGAUGAAAAUUAUAUGUUAGGGCCUGUUUGAUUGGCCGAAAGUAAAGCAUUAAAAAUAGCAUUUUUAAAAAGUGACGUUUUAUCUAUUAUUUUAUAAAAGUCACUUUACAAAGUGGGCUGAUAAAAUAAACUAUAACUAAAUCUCACUUUUUUUACUUCGGCUCAAAAAAUUUGAAAUACAUCGAAAAUGGAGAGCUUACCUAAGAGGUUAUAUUUGGUCUUAACUUAACCUUUGAAUUUAUUUUUGAAGUUGAAUUUCACUUUGAAUUUGAUUAAAAUCAUGAUCACACUGUGAGUUUUAUUUUUAAAUUCAAAUUUAACAAAA
rnacentral:lncRNA from 1 species